AGAGCCUUUCUACCUCCCCUAUUUUAUGUUUCAAAUUCUAUGAAUACCUACUCUAUCAUUCUUUCAAAACAUUCAGAGCAUACUUUUCCAUGCUGUUUCUUAGAAUAAUAGGAUCAUAUACCUAGAGCUGGAAGACAUCUGAAAGGCAAACGGGUCCAACUGCUUCAUUCUACAGAAGAGAAAACUGAGGCCAAAUGACAUGGAAUGACUUGCUGAAAGUUACGCAUGGAGUUAAGUAUCACAGGCAAGAUUUGAACAAGUUUCUCUUACUCUAGAUUUUGCACUGUACCAUGUUGUCUUUUUUCAUCUGGUCGGCUUUUUGGUUUGUUGGUUUGCUUUGUUUUUUCUCAUGUUGUCCUUUGCAAAGUUAUUCUCCAUUCUAGAACUUGAGAAAAACAAAUCUGAAAUACUGUUCCACAAUGGGAUGCCCAUGUCAUCUAGGUUUCUGUAAUUCUAUCACAACUAUGGACAUACCACACUUACAGGUAAACAAAGAAAUUAGACCAAAUAGUAUUUAUGUUUCUUAUAAAUCUAUGACCCACAGAAGAUUCUAUUGCUGUUUCCUAUUAGCUAAGAAGCCGGUUUCAGUUGAGUUUUCAGCCCAGAUUUCCCUCCCUUUCCUCAUUUCCUCCUAACCUCAGAUUUUCUAUUCCAGCAUUUCAUCCAGGACUUCUUCCAGACUGUGAGAGCUGCUGAUAUACUUGAUGCCAUUAGGUCAGCAUUCCGAAGGAAAGAGGUGUAAGUUAGGUAUGAGAAGCCCAGUUUCUGGACUUGGUUCCACCAGUGUAUGAAAUAUCACAAAUCACUUACCUUGAUCAACCUCAGUUUUCUCAUUCAUCAAAUGUAAGACUUCAACAAAAUGUUGUUAAGUUCCCAGGAUCAUAGAAAAUUGAGCUAGAAGGCCCCUUAGAGCCUGUAGGUCAGCAAACUAUGGUCUGAGGGCCAAAACCUACCAAGUACCUGAUUUUGUGGGAGCCUAUUUUAUUUUAUUUUAAUAUGUAAAUACCAUGAUUAGCUAACUAUACUAAAAU
rnacentral:lncRNA from 1 species